rnacentral:rRNA from 2 species
CGCGCAGGCGGCUUCUCAAGUCAGGGGUGAAAGCCCAGAGCUCAACUCUGGAACUGCCUUUGAAACUGUGAAGCUUGAGUACGGGAGAGGUGAGUGGAAUUCCCAGUGUAGAGGUGAAAUUCGUAGAUAUUGGGAAGAACACCGGUGGCGAAGGCGGCUCACUGGCCCGUUACUGACGCUCAGGCGCGACAGCGUGGGGAUCAAACAGGAUUAGAUACCCUGGUAGUCCACGCCGUAAACGAUGAACGCUAGCCGUUGGGUAGCUUGCUAUUCAGUGGCGCAGCUAACGCAUUAAGCGUUCCGCCUGGGGAGUACGGCCGCAAGGUUGAA